GACGAACGCUGGCGGCGUGCUUAACACAUGCAAGUCGAACGGAAAGGCCCUGCUUUUGUGGGGUGCUCGAGUGGCGAACGGGUGAGUAACACGUGAGUAACCUGCCCUUGACUUUGGGACAACUUCAGGAAACUGGGGCUAAUACAGGAUAGGAGCUCCUGCAGCAUGGUGGGGGUUGGAAAGUUUCGGCGGUUGGGGAUGGACUCGCGGCUUAUCAGCUUGUUGGUGGGGUAGUGGCUUACCAAGGCUUUGACGGGUAGCCGGCCUGGGAGGUUGACCAGGCACAAGAGGACUGAGGUACGCAGCAGAGGCCAACGGGGGGCAGCGGUGGAAAGUAUGACACAGUGAGCGGGAGCGUGUGACGACAGCCCCGGGUGCGGGAAGACGGCCUUGGGGUUAUGAACCGCAUUAGCCUAAGACGAAGCGUGUGUGACGGUAAUGGGAGAAUAAGCACCGGCUAACUACGUG
rnacentral:rRNA from 1 species